UACCAAACAACUCAGCUUCCUUAUUCCUCUAUACCAACAAAAUUACACCUUCUGCAAAUUCAUUAACAACAAUGGCCAAUGUGGUGGAACUGAAAGUGGGUUACAUUGUGACGAGUGUAUCAAGAAAAUCCUCAAGGCUAUCAAGAAAAAUAGAGGAUAUUGAAACAUAUAACGUAGAUACUAAGCUGAACAAGGUUAUCGUCACGGGCAAUGUUACCAACGAUGAAGUCAUCCGAGUUCUUCA